UGGGGAAUAUUGGACAAUGGGCGAAAGCCUGAUCCAGCCAUGCCGCGUGUGUGAAGAAGGUCUUCGGAUUGUAAAGCACUUUAAGUUGGGAGGAAGGGCAUUAACCUAAUACGUUAGUGUUUUGACGUUACCGACAGAAUAAGCACCGGCUAACUCUGUGCCAGCAGCCGCGGUAAUACAGAGGGUGCAAGCGUUAAUCGGAAUUACUGGGCGUAAAGCGCGCGUAGGUGGUUUGUUAAGUUGGAUGUGAAAUCCCUGGGCUCAACCUGGGAACUGCAUUCAAAACUGACUGACUAGAGUAUGGUAGAGGGUGGUGGAAUUUCCUGUGUAGCGGUGAAAUGCGUAGAUAUAGGAAGGAACACCAGUGGCGAAGGCGACCACCUGGACUAAUACUGACACUGAGGUGCGAAAGCGUGGGGAGCAAACA
rnacentral:rRNA from 1 species